rnacentral:rRNA from 1 species
AUGAAUGACAACCAUUGCCCAAUUAUGAGCUGGAAUGUGCGUGGAAUGAACCUUCCGGCCAAGAGAGCCACCAUUUGUGAAGUUGCAGACUCGCAUAAGUUAGCGAUCCUCUGUUUGCAAGAGACCAAGAUUGAGGUGUGGAACAGGGCCAUGGUGAAAGAAACUGGAGGGGCUGCCAUGUCAAACUGCAUUGUGCUGCCGGCCAUUGGCAGAAGAGGAGGGGCUACAAUCUUCUGGAAUGCAUGUAUGGUAUCAAUUGUAUCCCAUGCGAUCGGCCAAUUCGCCAUCACAGCCAAGGUGACAAUCCUG